CAUGGUCGGUCUAAAGUAUCCUUGUCAUAACACUUUAUGGGUAAGGGUCAUGAUUGCCACAUUUUCCUUCAUGAACUUUUCAUAAGGCAUAUUCAACUUUCGAGGGAUGGAGGCACUGAAGUAAGGGCAAGGUGAAGGACCUUUUGUAUAAUCUUCUAUCGUAAACGAGGUACUGGGGUGCAAGAUGCUUCAACUUCUUGGCUUCAUCUCAAUCAAUAGGUAACACUCCAUCUUGC
rnacentral:lncRNA from 1 species